rnacentral:piRNA from 1 species
UUUUAAAAGGUCGAAUUACUUGAAAAGAAA